CUGAAGGGGAAUCAGACCCAUUGCCCACAGUUUUUAUGGAUAAAGAUAGGACUCAAGACACAGAUAAUAGCACUCCAAAUAAUAAUGCAAUGGAUGAGCAAGGAGAAGAAGAUAUCGAUAACAUUGAAGGACAUGUAGAGCCUACAGAGUCAGAAGAACAUUUGGAACAAGAUGAAGAACAUUUGGAACAAGAGGACGAGGAGGGCCAUGAAGAAGAUGAG